AGCCGCCGUGCUGGAGCUGGGGCGAGGGGCUCGCUCUUGGGCUGCCCUUGCUGUUAGGGUACCAGGAGGGAAACCCCAGGUGGAAGAGGCUGAGACGAGGGGGGCUCGUAGACCAGGUCCAGCUGAAUCCGAAUGGGAAGUCGCAGAUCCUACUCUUCCAUCCGCCAUUCCAGACUACUGAAGUCGUCUGUAGGCUGAUGUCAAGUCUCCCAUUCUCUUUAUCCUUGGACUUUAGACCAUACGAGGAAGCAACAGUGGAUAUCUAGCCAAGAUGACCCAACAAGUGACUGCAGCCCCAGCCACCACCUGACUGCAACUGUAUGAAAGACCCCAAGCAAGAGCCACCCAUCUGAACCCAGUCAAACCACAGAAAAUUGAGAGAAAAUAAAAUUUCGUAUUAAGGUACUGAGUUUGGGGAUGGUUUGUUACACAACCAUGGGUAAUGGAGCAAGAAAAGAGAAAAAGCAGAAUUUAAAGCCUAUGGUCAAUUCCACACUACUGCAGUUUUUAGUUAGUCCAUUGAUAAACUUGAUAACGCCCAUUUGGAGGUUUACAAUCAGAGUCUUUGCAUAUAACAGAAGUGCUCAGCUUGCCUACAGCACAUCAUUGGCCAUAUUCGAGGACUAAAUUGAUGCAUGUAGAAUAUGAAUUAAGACUCUCAAGUCUAAGACAUUUCCCUUUAACAUUUUUUAAAGGAAGGAAAAUUAUCUUUACUAUAACUUGAUAGAAUUUGUCAGCAGUGUGGUGUAACAGAAAACAUAAACUUUUGGGGGUAAGUAAACAUUCAGUUAAUUGUAAAAAAAAAAAGAAAGAAAGAAAACAAACUUCUUCAAUGAUUGUUGAAAAAACAGGGACUUGACUGUCAGUCACUAGGCAGGGGUCUGCAUCCUGCCUCCUGCCCAUUGCAGAAAUGACCAUGGACAGAUCUCUUCAUCUCUCUGAGUUUCAGUUUUCUCAUGUGAAUGAGAAAUUAAUAUUAGCAGUCAUAUAAGGGGCUGCAGAUGAGGAAUGACCUUUCCAUGGAGUCCAUGAGUAAGAGGCCAGCAGAGGAAGCUGUUUUGCAGAUGCCUCUCCACCCUCACAUCUCUGGUCAUCAGGGAUGAAAAACAAGCCUUCCACUUUCCCCCAGUGGAGAAAGAUGGCAGCUAGUCUGACUGUGGGAGGCAGAAGAAGCCAAGACCAGGGCACCAGUCAAAGGGUUCUUCGAAAUUUUUAUCAUCGAGUCCUUUCUCUCAUCCUCCAGCUUUUCUCCUUUUUCUAUUUUCCCCCAAAAUGAAAAGAACUUCAUUGUCUUUUGUGAUUACACCAAUAUUUACACAUUGUAAAAAAAUUUUAAACAAGCAAGAAGAACAAAUAAGAAAGAUAUUUGCCAUUAUCCACGUGGAUAGGUAACCACUCUCUACAUUUUUUAGCCUCCCUUUUCCACUUAAUUUUUUGCGGACAUGGUCCUAUGAUGAUGGUUUUAGGUCUACGUCAUGCCAUGGAUGAAUGAAUGCAGAUGUGGGAACCAGCAACCUGGAUCCGAAUUCCUUCUCUUCUGCUCACCAGCUCUGUGACCUCGAGCAAGUCCUUUAACCUCUCUGCACCUGUUUCCUCAUCAACAAAAUGGGAAUGAUAACAGCAUCGACCUCAUAGGGUUGUCCUGAUGACCAGGUGAAUUAUUACUGGGCAACCACCUUCUGUUAGCCACACUUAUUAUGAGCUAUUGUGAGAUGGAUGGACCAUUAUAUUUUUUUUAACCAACCUUAAUUCUGGGCACUUUUUACUAUUAUAUAACAUAACCCCGUCUUUGCACUUUUGCCCAGUUAUUUUCUCGCAUUAAAUUUUGAGAAGUAA